rnacentral:lncRNA from 10 species
CUGGGAGGCGAAGGUUGCAGUGAGCCAGGAUCACACCACUGCAUUCUAGUCUGGGCAACUUCCAGCCUCAACUUUUUUUGAGACUCUGUCUCAAAAAAAAAAAAAGGGUAUAAAGCAAUCAGUAAUAUUGUCAGAUUUUAAAUUUCAAGACAGGAGGGGUCAUCUCCCACUCAUCUUUAUAAAUCCCACAGCACUACACAAAACACAUCUGUUGAAUAAAUUGAUGUAGUAAUAACAAUAUGACAAAGUAAAAGCAUUCAUUGGAUUUUUUUAGAAAGUUGACAUUUUUUCCAUGAAAUAUCACUAGCUUACUAGUAGUUUACAAUUUUUACUAGUUUACCAGAGUAUUUGCAUAGAUGUCUAUUGUAUUCUUUUAAUUUUUUAUCUCUUCAAACUAUGUCCCAUCUGUGGUUGCCAUUUUUCUUGCUUUGAUUUGACAAAGUUUCAUCUCUUAUAUAGGUCUUUUGGGAAAAAAGCUCUUAGAUUUAUUUAUUAUGCUUAUUUUUCUAGUAGAAGAGAUGUAUUUAUUUCAGCAAAAUUAUAAAGUAAAAAAUCAAAGAAACAAUAAUAUUUGGCACUCGCUGAGACAUAAUUUUGUAAAGAAGAAAACAGUAAUCAGCAUAAGUAUAAUAAAUUAUAAAGAUCUAUUGAUCUUUUAAUGGGGGCAAAUAACCAGAAGAAACACAAAAAGACUUAAAAUACAGCAUCAUUGUCACAUCUCAUGAAAACAUUCCCAUAAAAAAUUAACAAUUUCCACUUGAACAUGUAUUUCAGCCCUCUUUGAACUUAUUCUGAAAUCUUGAUGCUCUACUGACGUUUAUAGACUAGCCAUUUUCUCACUCCAUGAACUCACAAGUUAUCGGUCUCUUCAAAAGCAAUUAAAAAGGAGCACUUCAUGUUAGAUAUAGAGUACUUAAAGGCUAAUAUUUAAUCUUAAUUGGCAACAAGUUUAGUGCAAAUACAAUUAUAUUUAGCGGCUUAGAUAGUCCUGGUAAGGAUGCAUUCUCUUAACCCUUACUGUUUCCCCAGAGUGAAAUCAUUUCUCUCUUUUUAUGAGUACAAACGUUGGCCAUUCAAACCUCUGAAAACUAGUAACGAUAAUUCUGUUUGUUACACAGGGAGUUUCCAUGAAAGAUGGUUUCAGUCACUAUGUAAAUGAGCCACAUGGUUUUUACAUUUGGAAAGUUCCCUUCGGGUUGAUACAAAAAAGCAGGGCCUGAAUGACAGUCAUUCCUCUUAGGAAUGGAGUCCAAGUCAUAACUGGAUCUUACCCAGCUGCUUCUCUGAUCAGUGAGAAGACCCAAAGGAGGCAUUAAUCAUUUUACCCAUUAACCACCAUGCAUGGAAUUCAAAAGAAGACUUGAGAACAGGGCUGAGGAAUCUCUUAAAUCGAACUGUGCUCUCCAGUAAUAAUUUUAUUUCACUGAUUUAAAUGCCAAAAAAAGAAAAAUAAAGCCAUCUGAUUUCAAACCUGGUGCUUCCCACUGUCAGCCAAGAUUUAUUCUUCAAAUGAACAGAAGCCAGAGAGCUACUAGCCUGGGACUCCUGCUUCAGGAAACAAUAUGGCUUACUGU